AGAUACUCAAGGUUGGAGAGCUACUAACCCAGUACAUGAAUUCCCAGUGUAUCUUUCAGUGUUCUGAACCUGUAUUUUACAUUUUCAGAAAAGUUGACCACAGAAGCAUGUUUAUAUUGUAUUAAAACAAACUAUUUUUCUGGAAAGUUUUCCCAUUAAGCGUCUAACCUCCAAGCAUCGAAUCCCAGGCCAAUUUGUGUCAAAGUACCAACCUGGAGAAAAUGCCCUGGAUUUGGAAGCAAAGUAUUGAAUGUUGGAAGUCUGAAUAAAGGAAUCAUACACUGUAUGUGCACCUGAAUGUACUUUACAAGCAUCAGUAGAACACUUCUGAUUGAAGCUUGGUCUUAUGAAGAUAAAAAUUUUAUGUGGACCACAGAUUCUCUAAAAAUCAGACUCCAAGUAGGAUCAACACAAAGACACCCACAUUCAGGUACAUCUUGUCAAAUGUGGAAAGGCAAGAAUGAAAUGAAAUGUUGACAGCAAGAGAAAAACAUCCCUUUAUAUACAGAGGAACCCCAGCAACAGUAACAGCUGAAUUCUUGUCAAAAGCAAUGGAGACCAGGGCUGGGAGUGGUGGCUUGCACCUGUAAUCCUAGCACUUCGGGAGGCCAAGGCAGGUGGAUCACCUGAGGUCAGGAAUUCGAGACCAGCCUCUCCAAUGUGGUGAAACCCCAUCUCUACU
rnacentral:lncRNA from 10 species